rnacentral:rRNA from 1 species
GUAGGUGGCAAGCGUUGUCCGGAAUUAUUGGGCGUAAAGCGUGCGCAGGCGGUUCUUUAAGUCUGAUGUGAAAGCCCACGGCUCAACCGUGGAGGGUCAUUGGAAACUGAGAACUUGAGUACAGAAGAGGAAAGCGGAAUUCCACGUGUAGCGGUGAAAUGCGUAGAGAUGUGGAGGAACACCAGUGGCGAAGGCGGCUUUCUGGUCUGUAACUGACGCUGAGGCGCGAAAGCGUGGGGAGCAAACAGGAUUAGAUACCCUGGUAGUCCACGCCGUAAACGAUGAGUGCUAAGUGUUAGGGGGGUUUCCGCCCCCCUUAGUGCUGCAGCUAACGCAUUAAGCACUCCGCCUGGGAGUACGGCCGCAAGGCUG